UACGAAGGGUGCAAGCGUUACUCGGAAUUACUGGGCGUAAAGCGCGUGUAGGCGGUCCGGUAAGUCGGUUGUGAAAGUCCAGGGCUCAACCCUGGGAUGCCGAUCGAUACUGCCGGACUAGAGUCCGGAAGAGGCGAGUGGGAAUUCCCGGUGUACGCGGUGAAAUGCGCAGAUAUCGGGAGGAACACCAAUGGCGAAGGCAGCUCGCGUGGGACGGUACUGACGCUGAGACGCGAAAGCGUGGGGAGCAAACAGG
rnacentral:rRNA from 1 species